AAAUACGAAGAAAUGCAAUGGGAACGCAAUUAACUAUCAUACAUUAAACCAGAACAUGCAAAAUCUUAUGGCUUCGCUGCAAAGCAUAUUCUGUAUUCAACAAACACAAAACUAUGGUAAAAUGUGUUUGCAAAAAUAAUAAUGACAAUGAUAAUGAUGACAAUUUUCUGAGUUAAUGAGAUAGAAAAAAUAGGCUAACACAAACUUGUUCCAAAUUAUUAAGAAAACCAAUUCUCCAACAAAUCUGGGGCAUGCAAUUCGCAAGCAAGAUUCAGCUCACAAUCCAUCACACAUUGUAA
rnacentral:lncRNA from 1 species